CCUAAUUAUGAUCUAUCUGAUUUAAUGAUGAUAUAGAACAUUGCAUUCUUCACAUGCCAAAUAAUUUAUAUAUGUCAUCUCACUUAAUCCUUAUAAUAAGUUUUGGGGUAUUACUUUCAUAUUGUAAAGGAGAAAGCUAACUCAGUGGGUAAGUAGCAGUUUGACUUGUUCACUUGUCUAGUAAAUGAUAAUGAUAAUUCUCAAUCACUCUCCUAUACUUUAUUUUUUUACUCACCUAUAUUUUAACAAACAUCAGCUGAGGUUCUUAGUCAUGUUUUCUGUAACAUCUUCAUGCAACUCAUGUGGCAUUUUGAGGUUCAUGCACCCAAUUCACUUACUUGUCCUUAAGUCUAUCAUCAUUUGUGUACUUUUUGUGAUUGAUUGAUUUUGCAUUUACUGGGGAUUGCACCCAGGGGCACUCUACCACCGAGCUACAUUCUCUGCACCCCACCUUUCAAAAAAAAUAUUUAAAAUUUUGAGAAAGGGUCUUUCUGAGUUGCCAGGCUGGCCUCGAAUUUGUGAUGCUCCUGCCUCAGCCUCCUGAGUAGCUGGGAUUACAUGCAUGCACCCCAUGCCCAGCUUCUAUAUGCUCUUUUAAAAUUUGAAUUAAAUGGAUGAUAUUUUUAAAAGACAGGCAAAAGUAGGUACCUUUGGUAAGAAUUUUUUUUUUUCCCAUCUGCAUAGGUCUUUAUAAGUAAGCCGUUUGUCCAAUGAGCAUUCUCAACACCAGCCAGAUUAAA
rnacentral:lncRNA from 1 species